UACGGAGGGUGCAAGCGUCGUUCGGAAUUACUGGGCGUAAAGCGCGUGUAGGCGGCCAGGUAAGUCGGAUGUGAAAGCCCGGGGCCCAACCCCGGAACUGCACCCGAUACUGCCUGGCUGGAGUCCCGGAGAGGAUGGCGGAAUUUCUGGUGUAGAGGUGAAAUUCGUAGAUAUCGGAAGGAACACCAGUGGCGAAGGCGGCCAUCUGGACGGUGACUGACGCUGAGACGCGAAAGCGUGGGGAGCAAACAGG
rnacentral:rRNA from 1 species